rnacentral:rRNA from 1 species
GACGAACGCUGGCGGCGUGCUUAACACAUGCAAGUCGAACGGAAAGGCCCUGCUUUUGUGGGGUGCUCGAGUGGCGAACGGGUGAGUAACACGUGAGUAACCUGCCCUUGACUUUGGGAUAACUUCAGGAAACUGGGGCUAAUACCGGAUAGGAGCUCCUGCUGCAUGGUGGGGGUUGGAAAGUUUCGGCGGGUGGGGAUGGACUCGCGGCUUAUCAGCUUGUUGGUGGGGUAGUGGCUUACCAAGGCUUUGACGGGUAGCCGGCCUGAGAGGGUGACCGGCCACAUUGGGACUGAGAUACGGCACAGACUCCUACGGGAGGCAGCAGUGGGGAAUAUUGCACAAUGGGCGGAAGCCUGGUGCAGCAACGCCGCGUGCGGGAUGACGGCCUUCGGGUUGUAAACCGCUUUCGCCUGUGACGAAGCGUGAGUGACGGUAAUGGGUAAAGAAGCACCGGCUAACUACGUG